CAAAAAGGCGACCUUUUAGGGCAAAAAAAAAGGGUCAGACCUCACGUCAGCGCGCCCACAAAAGCAACCGUUCCCAAAAACAAAAACAUCCACUGGCGCCUCCCAGCAGCAGCUUCCAAUCGCAGCCAAUUCGAGUUAGACUGCGCUGCACCCCCGCCCCACCCACCCCACUGUGUGAAUCCAAGUGGUCACUCGAAGAAUGCAAGAUCUUUCCAAAGUCGGCCCUGCAGACUCCUGCUGGAAACCAGAAUCGCCGUGACAACCGAUGCCGGUCCCAGAUGACCACUGGACACCCCCAAUGGAGGUGCCUUUUGAGAUUAUGCAGGUAAUAAAGAGAGAGAUGGAGAAACUCCCUCCCUAUGGCCCAGGGAAUCAAGUGCAGAAGACCAAAGUUAUUCAACACCCACCAUUAAGCCACAACAGCAAAAUUAAAAGAAUCUAAAAAGCAGCCGCAUCCAUGCAACGCAGACAAGAUCUUUUAAGCAGCCAACAGUUUUCUUUACAGACUCCAAAUACAAGCCCCACUACCCCUGAGAAGGGGCACUGCAGUGAGCAGCUGGGAAGAGAAGAAGAAAAAAAAUCAAUACUGCAUUCGAAACAGAAAAGAAAAAAAAAAAGGUUUGUUCCCAGUUUGAAUACUUUCAUUUCUCAGUUAUGUACAAAACAGAAGUUGGCAUGGAAGUAAAUCAGCAAGCCACAAUUAGUCUAAUUUUGUUAUUCUUACAUGGGGUUUGGCUGAGGCAAUGCCAGAAUUUAUUGCCUGUCCCUAAACACCCAAGACCACGU